rnacentral:rRNA from 1 species
GAUGAACGCUGACAGAAUGCUUAACACAUGCAAGUCAACUUGAACUUCGGUUUGGGUGGCGGACGGGUGAGUAACGCGUAAAGAACUUGCCUCACAGUUAGGGACAACAUUUGGAAACGAAUGCUAAUACCUGAUAUUAUGAUUUUAGGGCAUCCUAGAAUUAUGAAAGCUAUAUGCGCUGUGAGAGAGCUUUGCGUCCCAUUAGCUAGUUGGAGAGGUAACGGCUCACCAAGGCGAUGAUGGGUAGCCGGCCUGAGAGGGUGGACGGCCACAAGGGGACUGAGACACGGCCCUUACUCCUACGGGAGGCAGCAGUGGGGAAUAUUGGACAAUGGACCAAGAGUCUGAUCCAGCAAUUCUGUGUGCACGAUGAAGUUUUUCGGAAUGUAAAGUGCUUUCAGUUGGGAAGAAAAAAAUGACGAUACCAACAGAAGAAGUGACGGCUAAAUACGU